rnacentral:rRNA from 1 species
UCUCAACGAUGGAUAUCUUGGUUCCCACAACGAUGAAGAACGCAGCGAAGUGCGAUAAGCAAUGCGAAUUGCAGAACCGUGGGUCAUCAGAUUUUUGAACGCAAUUGGCA